GCCUGGGUGGCUGAGUCGGUUAAGCGUCCAACUUCAGCUCAGAUCACGAUCUCACAAUUUGUGAGUUCGAGCCCCACAUCAGGCA
rnacentral:tRNA from 1 species